rnacentral:lncRNA from 1 species
CCUGACACUCUGUGGGCAUGUAAUGCAGUUAGAGCCUACCUGAAUUUGUCUCUGAAAUACACUUCAUUGCAUGGGUAUGUGAUAAAUCUGUAUGGAACUGCGUACGCCGAAAUAAAUGGAACAGCUUCCGUAGUGAGUUUUGUAUAAACAUUACUCAAGUUACUGCUGAAGACUGACAGGCUCUGACUUCAUUUUUUCAAAUACUCUUCUAGCUGCUUAAUUUUAAUGACAUUCUUUGUGACAAAAGUAGCACACAGCAAGACCUUCAAUAUAUUUCUUCAUCAGAUAUGCUUUUGAGAAUAGUAUCUAUUGAUUCAUAACUAAUAAUGACUAAACUCCAGAAGUCAUUAGUAAAUCAAUUCAGGGAAAAUUACCUUUGAUUUCAGUAGUAAUUUCAUGCAUGAAUGGUUUAAAUGAUCAAUCUGGCAAGGUAUCAUACUUGCUUACCAUUUAGAACAGCCCAUACAACGAACAGCUAUGGUCUAUGAAAUAACUCCAGAAGCUUUCUGCCACUCUAGCUCUUUACCUGCUCUGAUUGGACCAAAUGAAUUUCUGGACUCUGACUUUCUGUGCAUUUCAUUAUGACUCAGACAUUUCAAAGCUAAUGACCAUAGAUUCAGAGCAUCGAUGAUACUGACACACAACUUUUCAAAUUGGUGGAUUUUCUUACAACUGCACGUCAUCAGAGGUCCAGGCCAGCAGCACUUUACAAAUUAACAGCAGUGCUAUAAAAAAGUCAAAUUGUGUGUAAUUUACACAAAGCACUUUCACCUGUGCUUUGUGAGAUGCAAACAUUUCAGCUGAGGAAAAACAAUGGAGUGGAGGUUGUCUUCUGGUCAGAUUUUGACAGGAAUGCAUGGCUUGACAUGCACUGGAGAAAGCAUGGGCUGUUCCUGGAGGUGUUGCCUUCCUUAUUUUGAAAUGUAAUUAAAAAAAAAAAAAAGUACAGAAAAUGUGCCUUUAAAACUGGAAUAUAUCCCAAAACUUCGCAUUUAUUGUUAAUUUUUCUGGUGGGAUUCUAGCAGCUAGUUAGUCUUUCUAGGCUAUGUUUUCUGGUACUUUACCUCACCUCAACUGCGUUUAUUUAUAACCUGAAAGCUCACGUUACCAAAUGUUCUUUUUCUUACCUUUUAUAUCCCUUGAGACAUAUAACUCUGGCCUAGAUUAAAGA